UUUUAAAUUAAUUAAUUAAAAAUUUAUAAAACACAAAAUCCAAGCUUUUUAAACCUAGGACUGCACUAGGGUUUUGUUAAGCCUAGGCGUGGCUUGAGAUUUUACCAUCUAUAUACUCUAACACCCCAUCAAAAUUUAUUUUCAGUUGAUAUGAGAUUAUCUUUAUGAUCACCACCAUCACAUGUGGGUUGAUUAGCUAAUGUGAGAUUUUCUCUAUAUCACUCUGGUCACAUGUGUUCAUAUCAAAUAAAAAGGUUGUGUGGAUCUAAGUUAAAUUUGAAAUAUUGUAAAACUCUACUACCUAACUUAUAGUAAAAAAUUACCUCAGACAAUAAAAUAUUGUCUCACAAACUUCUGUACUUCCUCCAAGAAUUAUUUUGAGCUGCGGAUGUGGGAUAUCUCCAACACCUAUCAAUAUAUUGUUGUGAUGGCAGUGCAGUGACUCACGUACCAACAGUUUCAAUCAAGUCCCUUCUGAUUGAAACUGACCAGUGCAUGAUUCAUCAAUUUUGGCUGGGAUAAAGAUUUAGCAACAGUCAUUCAUACACGUAAUCGUUUAGGGUUAUGAAUUACACAUUCAAGCUGUAUGUUCUGGCCACAUCAAAUGUCUGUUUCUACACACUAUUAGAGAUAAGUCUAGUGUCCAUUCGAUCAUUGGAAUAAAUUUGUUAUUUUCAUAGCAUAUACAGUUUCAAUAUAUAUUAAAAUCAAUAUAUAUAUAUAUAUAUAUACACACACACCAAUUAAUGAAGAGUAAUACUAAGCAUUUUAAUAUCUUAGUACCAAUUCGAAUCUCAAUUAAUGUGAUAUUCAUCUAUUGAAUAAUAGUUAAAUAAUUUUAUAAAUUAUGAAAUAUAUAAUCUAAUAGAUGAAUGAGUGACACAUGAAUUCACAUUUAAACUCAAAUAUUAAGAUCUCUAGUAUUAUUUAUUAAUGAAACUGUGAAGUGGCAUAUCUCUUUCAAUGUAUAUGAAAAAUAUCAAAGAUAUUUAAAUGUGAGAAGAUUAUUGAUUAGUCAAAAGGUAGCUUCCUUUCGAAUAUAGGAAAGUUCAGAUCACACACCAUGUGAAAAACAUCAGCACGUUGGGAGGCUGCGGGGAACACUACUACAGUAGGCCGAGGAAUCCCUUUAUCUUUUUGCAGUACCACAGCAAGACGGACAAUAUUAAUUGGUGUUCAUUUUCCAAGUUUCGUUUCCUUUUUCUCAACUGAUUAGUAUACUUUUUUUUGGAUUUAUUUUGCAAGAUUGACAAUUCAAUUUAAUGUCCAUCGAGAGUGGUUCGGGGAUUAACCAAGUAGUUUCAUCAAUUUAUUUUUAGAUGACGUUCCAUUUAUAAAUCCUGAAAAGGCAGAAAAAAAAUAGUUUAAAACCUUACUAAUACUCCUCUCUUUUUUAAAAGAUAAAAAGAGAGCCUUUCAAAAAUAUAAAUAUAUAUAACUAUGGAAUAAUAUGAAGAUCUACCAAGCAUUACUCAAAAAUUUGUACUCAUCGCAUACAAGAUUUACCUUACAAUAAAUAUUUACAAAUGAUAAUUAGUGUUUUUUUUCUUUUUCUAGCAAAAUAUAACAAUGAUAGAAAUCCCCUGUAUUAAAUAUUUUAGCAAUUAUUUUUACAAUAAAUUUUUGGGUUUUUGUAA
rnacentral:lncRNA from 1 species